AUUUUCAGGCUGCACUCAGAGAAGCUGCCCUUGGCUGCUGGUAGCGCUGGGCCUUCUCUCCUCCUCAUCAUCCAGAGCAGCCAGUGUCCGGGAGGCAGAAGAUGCCCCACUCCAGCCUGCAUCCAUCCAUCCCGUGUCCCAGGGGUCACGGGGCCCAGAAAGCAGCCUUGGUUCUGCUGAGUGCCUGCCUGGUGACCCUUUGGGGGCUAGGAGAGCCGCCAGAGCACACUCUCCAGUGCCUGGUGCUCCACCUAGCCUCCCUGCAGCUGGGACUGCUGUUAAACGGGGUCUGCAGCCUGGCCGAGGAGCUGCGCCACAUCCACUCCAGGUGACUCACUGCAGUACCCAUGGUGAUGGGGUAUCCAACAUGUGUCACUCCCUUGAUGCCUAGCCUUGCCCCUCCUUGAACCUGUCUGGCUGAGCUGGGCUUGGGGCUGGGGUCUGGCUGUCACUCACAGGUACCGGGGCAGCUACUGGAGGACUGUGCGGGCCUGCCUGGGCUGCCCCCUCCGCCGUGGGGCCCUGUUGCUGCUAUCCAGCUAUUUCUACUACUCC
rnacentral:sRNA from 1 species